rnacentral:lncRNA from 12 species
CAGGGAAGAGGAACGAGGGAGGCUGGCGGUGGUUCUGCGAGCUUCUAGUGUGCUGCCUUUCUUCUUUCUGUGCUUCAGUUGCAGGGUAAAUCAGAUCUGACAUCAUCUGUGCAUGUGCAAGAGGGGAUUUUCUCUAUGGCAAGAGUCUUGUUCAAGUUGGAAAUUCUCCCUGUGGACCAACACAUCCUUCUGUGAGCAGAUUUCUCCUGGAAUGCUGAGGGUUUGUUUAUGACACAGGUAAUUGGAACUUCAGGACCUCCAAAUCAACUGACCCAAGAUUCUACCCUUCCACCAAAAGAACUACCAGCAGUGCAAGAUGUAAUCCAACUCGUGGACAGGCGACAGGGGCAAGUGGGAUUCAUGGUACGUCUCACAGCUGUUUGAGCAGACACCAUUUGUGGGAGAGCAGUGCAGCACUGGUGAUUGUACUGCAGAAUGUGGAAUUGCCCAGGGUUUACCUA